UAUUGUGCAUUUAUAUGAUAAACCUUCCUACUCGUUCAUCUCAUAAGAAUGGCUUUAUGCAAUGCCUUACAAAUGAGUGGAGGCAUGUGACAUGAUGAUAGGGUAACCAUGGCAAUACUACGCAUAAUCCUUACAUUCAUCAUCUGAGCAUGUAUGAAAAGUGCUGAGAUGCCAGUUCUUUCCGAAGUUUGACGGGUGGAAGAAAUUGUCUGACAAAUACAUAAGGCCGGUGAUCAUAUCGUGACAGGUCUGUACAUUUUUAUUAGUCUACCUUGCAAUUUUAAGAAUGUUGGGAAAAAUCGAAUACGUUGUAUGGAAGAAGCUGGGAUUUUACUCCCUCGGGAGUUUCCUGCAAUCGGCUGCAAUGUCCUGUGCAUCUAGCCGGCUCGGUCCUGGAUUUACCAUUUGGAGGGACAAGGAUAUGUGUAUCGCCACCUGCCGCCCUCCGCGCUUCACUUUAUUCUCCAUAACCUCCGAGGACAAUGACAUGACAUCAUUUUUCUAAAAUAGCCUGUGAGCAGCGAUCAUGCAGAUACUUGGACAGCAUGGCUUCAUUACAUCAGACGAGCAUUACAUCAUUUCUCUCUGUACCGAUUCACAUUAUAUUCCAUUCUAUAUGCAAGACGCUGGGCACCUUUUAUUCACUCCGUACAGGACGCUCAGUACAGUUGAGCAAUGUCUCGCUCUAUUUUUAUCACAGAUGUGAGCCAAGAACAUCAAUAUGAACACUGAGCUAUACGUCUUCCUGAAAUCUGUCUUGCAUUUUUCUUUCAUGCUUUCUGCUUAAAUCCAUCUAAAUGGGUCUUGGCACAUAUUCAAAAAACACAUAAAAGUGGCAUAUUUACCUCAAGC